CUGGAAUCCGCAUCUUGCCAUUGGUAGCAACCUAUGGCUAUCUCAGUGUCUCUUUGCCCAUCCAUGGAUCUCUGGUUCACGUUAGCCGACCCUAUCAACAAGUACAGGUCGUCCACUGCAAAUAAUGGUCAAGAAAGUGAUAAGAUCUUAUUACUUUUUCUGAACCUUUGAAAUGGGUUCUUGUGUAGUAAAUGAACUUCAGUCAAUCACAAAUUUCAGGGUGAGGAGAAUGUGGCGGCAGGUACUCCCCUUCCCCUUUCUGUUCCCUAUUUGCUAGGCAAAAGAAAUUCAAGUAGUCUCUUGGGUGCCCUGCUUCCCCACUCUCUUGUAUUGCUUCUCCAAUCAACCUAUACAUCAUUGCUACUGUUUCUCUGGUCCAAUGCAGGAUGUCCUGAACUGUUUCACUUUCAGGUGCAUAAGGAGUAGCAUUGAAGAUGGUGGCUUCAAUUGUUCCAUGGAGGAGCUCAAGUUUUGUCUCCAUUGCCUUGCCUCAAAAAUGCACCAGGGUGAAAUUCAGAGAGAGAAAGAGGGAGAUAGAGCUGUCAAUUUUGUUUUGACCGAGAGGAAGUGAAAGCUAUCAUUACUGGUUAUGCAACGAAGGUCAUAUAUAAAGGUAGGUAAGCUUGGUGUUGCAGAAGCAAAGGGAAUCUUGGGAUGCAAUGGAACAUUGAGCAGUUUGGAAAAUCUUGUGGACGUUCUGGCUUCCAGACUUGUUGGCACAGCCAAUCUUCAAGGAGACCAAGUUUAUUGGAGAAACAUUCACACGGCAGUAAUGGGGAGAUAAGUUGUUACUCCAAACUUUUAUGGGGACCCAAAUCCUUGUAUAAUGUCAUCUACCUAUGUAAAACAAUAGUAAAUGCACUUUCACAUGUGUAAAAAAAAAUUAUUUCUAUGAAUUUCGGACUGAAGAAAUUUAAAUUUCAGUUAUAGAUGAGGCGAAAUAAGUAGCUUCAAUUUUU